GACGAAGGUGGCAAGCGUUGUUCGGAAUCACUGGGCUUAAAGAGCACGUAGGCGGGCUAUCAAGCGCUUUGUGAAAUCCCUCGGCUUAACCGAGGAACUGCUUGGCGAACUGAUAGUCUUGAGGCAGGUAGGGGCGUGGAGAACUCUUGGUGGAGCGGUGAAAUGCGUAGAUAUCAAGAGGAAUGCCGGAGGUGAAGACGCCGCGCUGGGCCUGUCCUGACGCUGAGGUGCGAAAGCCAGGGGAGCAAACGGG
rnacentral:rRNA from 1 species